GUGAUUGCUUUGGCAACCCAUAUACUAAAAUUGUGAAAGAUACAGAGAAGAUUAGCCUGGGCCCUGUGUAAAGAUGAUGUGCAAAUUUGUGAAGUGUUUCAUAUUUUA
ensembl:snRNA U6 U6 spliceosomal RNA